GAAUGAAACAAAGAGCCCCCAAUUGAUGGGUGCCCCAAAAUUUCCAUUUGAGGCACCCAUCCGAAGCAAACAAGCCCUUUCUCAGAUGUUCUGUCAACAAAACCUAAAGGCAGAAAAUCAUCGACUUGGUCACUGUUAUCUGAAUUGGGUUUUAUGAGUCCCCAAAUAAAUGGCAAAUCCGAAAACUCCAACCCAUGAGCUAUCUCAUGAAAUUGUUCUUUGUUCAGCUUACACUCACCCCCAAGGUGUGUUCUGGAAUGUACAAACACCACUGACCUAGGUUUUUGCUUGUCAAGACAAUGAAACAUCGACACAUUGGAGUUUAUUUCCCCUUUUGCCCUUUUCCUAGCUUGAUCUGGAGGAAGUACACCAGUGGGAACCACUGGCUUUCCACUGAUUUUCUUGUACACUUCCUAGUAGUCUCCUUCAAUCUCAUUACAAGUACGAAGUGCCAAAGCUUGACUUGCUGAUUAUCUUGGCAAGCCUAGAAGCUCCACUUAUCCCAGUACUAUCUGCACCCCAAAACCCUCGAGGCACAUAAAUUGCUUCAUACUCCUUGAACGCCACCAAAGAAGGAAAGGCGAUCCAGUCUGGUGGAGAUGUCAAGCUUUUUGGUGAUGGAAGAACAUAGUUUCUGUUCACACCAGAGAGAUUUUCAGGGGGGCCAAAGAAUACACUGCUAGCCGCGGAGAAAGCAGAGAAGUAGACUAAUGGAACGACAUACUCUUUAGCAAUGUCGACCACCCAAUGAGCAGCGAAAUCGAGUACUAUCCAAUCCGGCAUUUGAUAUGCAAUGAACUGUUUGAUGGGUGUUUGAAGAAGAUCGUAUGCGAUCAUUAAGUUGUCGAUUUUUUCAGAGGGUACGUCCACACUGGCCUCUGCUCCUUCCGGCGGAAGUCGGGAUCCAAAGGAGGAAAUGGAAUGGGGACCAAGUGUAUUAAAGGUUGUAAAUCAGGUGAGAUUUUGGGGAGCCUUUGAAUGUUUCUCUGGUGUGGAUAUGAAAGAGACAUGAACUUUGGCUUUGGCCAAGGCUAUGGAGAGUUGAAAGAAGGGCAUCAAAUGGCCGAAGGCAGACCAUGGAAGCAUCACAACAUGAAGCAGCUCUUUUCCCAUUUUUGAUAUGUCUGGCUAUCUGCAAUUAGUUUGCUCAUGCAAUAACACAAUGAAGGUCCUAGGGAGGGGGGGGGGGGGGGGGGGGGGGNNNNNNNNNNNNNNNNNNNNUUUAGCUAUCCUGAUAACAGGAAGACGUAGUAAUAAAUAAAAGAACAAGUACUGGAAAGUAAAAGAAAUAACACCAGUACGUUUUUUAUUUCGCAGAAACCCUGCACCAGGGAGAAAAACUGCGUGCCCCUAACUCUUGAGGGACAAACAUUUCCACUAUGUAAAACUCACUUCUUACAAGAUUAUAGUCUAGGGAUACAACGACGAUUUGCAAUCCUGCCUAGUCUACCCACUAGUCUAGAUCUAUCUCUCCUGUCUUUGAGUGACUCACCUCACUCCUCACAAGAUUAUAGUCUAGGGAUACAACAACGACUUGCUAUCCUGCCUAGUCUACCUACUAGUCUAGACCUACCUCUCUUGUCUCUCAAGUGUUUACAUAUGAAGGUAUAAGAAGAAGUUUCAACUCAAAACUCAGCUAACGCCUUUAACUGAUUCUUUUAACUGAUUCUUCUUGAACACUUCUCAGAAUACUCAACUCAGAACUCAGCUAACGCCUUUAACUGAUUCUUCUUGAACACUUCUCAGAAUACUCAACUCAGAACUCAGCUAUCCUAAUUAGAGGGAUUCUUCAGACCUCAGCUAACACCUUUAACUGACUCUCUAGAACUCAGCUCUCCUCGAUCAACUGAUCCUUCUUGAGUACUUCUGGGGUUGCUGCACUACCAUCACUCAUGAUAUGCAGAAUGCUAAUGGGUUUAUGAAAAGAGUUUUUGCUCUUGCUCUUGCUCUAAGAUUUACAAUCACCAAGGGAAGACUUAGAGGCAAAUGAGCAAUGCAAGGUAAAACCUAUACCCAGCUAAAACUAUGUAGAAAACUACAUCUUGAACAACCAAAGAGCAAGAAGAGACUUGCUCCAUAUAUAUAGGCAAAGUGCAAGCUAAAGGAGAGCAUGCACGUUUACCAAAAUGGGAGGCAACUUUUGGACUUUAGUCCUUGUCCAAACUCAUAAAGUGAGAGGGCCAAAGGACAAACAAAGGCUCCAAGAGAGUAAAGACAAAACACAACUCUCUUAUAUGAUAAAAGGUUUUGUGAAUGAUGGAGACACAACAAAACCUAUUCCUAUAUGAGGACACAUAGGCCAGCUGAUAGCUUGGGCAGUGCAUCACAUGGCUCAGCAGCUGACUUGGUUUGUGUAUCACAAAACCCAGUUGGCUAAAAAAGGAGCUGCCUAAAAGUGCCUUAGUCAUGUGCUUAUGGGUUGGAAGAACAACACAACCCUAGACUAACUUAGAGCUCAAGCACGAUGAAAAAUGUUUUGCUAAAAGAGAUUUGAAAUUCAAAUACUGAACAGCUAAAGCAAAACCAUUUAAAUCUGCACGAAGUCAGACUCAGAGAUUAGGAUAGAUACAACACGGGUAUCCACCAAAUCUGGAUGGCAAGCAGAGCUGCCAUCCUGAAUGAAUGUGAUGCACAUGCAUGAACUACCUGAUGUAUAUGAGAUAAAAAACAAAUAGCCAGCUAAUAUAUUAGUUUGUGUAUCACAAACCUAGCUGGAGCCUCUAAGCUCUAGUCAUGUGGUCACGGGUUGGAAACACUACACAACCCUAGACUGACUUGAAGCACCAAGGCAACGACAAAUGUUUUGCUAAAGGGGAUUUGAAUUCAAACAGGGGGAAUUCAAACUAAUGAUACACAAAUAGCAAAAGCAUUUAGACAUGCAUACAUAUAGACCCAAUAGAUUAGGACAGAUACACCAGGAGGUAUCAUCCGAUCUAGGAUGACAAGCAAAGCUGCCAUUCUCAGUGAAAAACAUGAGAUGCAUAUGCAUGAACUACCUGAUGCACAUGAGAUCUUGGCAGGUCUUCAUUCUUCACUUGUGAUAUCCUUACCAUCAGGAUAUGUAGAAUUCUCAGUGAAAAGCAUCAGAUGCAUAUGCACCAGUUACCUAGGACACAUGUGAUCUUGUCAAGUCUUCAUUCUUCACUUGUGAUAUCCUUAUCAUCAGGAUAUAUAAAAUAGCUUGUGUCUUGUGUUUUGAUCAUAAAAGGGAUAGCCAACAAUCCUUAUACCAACACACAAUGUAUAUAGGAUGGACGGUAACUAUUUUUGAUGUGCGUUAUUGCAUUAUUUAUCGAGUCACUUCUCCAAGGUACGUAAUUAAAAUGUGAUGGAUUGAAUAUCAAUUCGACAAAUUUAACAAUGCACCAAAUAUCAAUUAACAUUGCAUGAACUGAUAUGCAGGUGAGAUUGUGACUUGUGUGAAUGUUUGAUUUAGUUAACUCCACCGAUAUAAGUAGUAAGUAGUAAAGUGAGCUAGGGACUCUUUGUGUGUUGGUAUCUUUUGCUUCCAACAUAAGUGAUUUGACAAAUCCACGUUGGAAUAUAGUGGAGGACUUCAUGUCGUCAUGAAUGACUAUCAUGAUGUGUGGGUUGGUUCGUUAUCAUGUCAACAAAGUAACCAAAAAAUAUCUGAAUCUCAUCCAAUAAUCUCAACCUUGGGUCUUUUUUCUUCAAAAGAAAAUGGUGCCUUGAGCCUUACUUUUUUCUGCAUCAAUGUGGUAAACUUGGCCUUGAAAUUGUAGUAGUAUCUGACUGACUUUUAUCAGAUCACUAAUCGAAUGACAGAUUUGUUGUUUGAAUAAUGCCAGUUAUGAUAAGAGAUUCUAAUCACUUAUGAAGUCAUUACUGGUUGUGAGAUUUAAUGCCACAUCUAGGCAGAGGAUAACCCAUAACUGUUUGGUGAACAUUCAUAAUCAUAGUUUGGUCACCAAAGACAGAAUUUGGAUAUUUAGAUGGUAAAUUUAGUUAUUUACCUAAAUCUUUCUCUUCCACCAAUUUGAUGCAGCUUGAUGGAGCUUUUGAGGCCCCUUUUUUCAUAUACCUUUCUCGGUAAGAUACCUAUAAUAGAAAGUCCAUCAUCAACUGCAACAAAAUGCAUACAUACAUUUUACUAUGGAAUCUACAUAUGGCUUAGCUCAUAUGAAGGUGUGCAAGAUUUUACAUGCAUAUCACACAGGCAAUACUAAUGUUUAAGAAGUUAGAUCAUGAUGUUAAGGGUUCCGAAAGUGAAGAUUCUACUUGAAUUGAUUACCUCUUUUUCCCGUUAUGAUCAACAGGAAUAAGCUUGUCCACUUUGAGAUCUCUGCUUGUAACAGAUCCCAUAAGCUAAUGUAUGUCCCCUGUCAAAAAAGUCUAGUCUUGACAUACUCAGCUAGAGUGACAAGUUAAGACAUUUACCAUGCCAGAACAUUUUGUCAUUGCAAUGCAGUAAAUGUAUUUGUUAUUUCACAUCUAGCCAGUAGAACAAUAAAGGUUUCUUCACCUCCCACUUACUGAAUGGAUCGGAAGCUUCAAACUUCUUUGUGAUACUCUUUAGUUGAAAUCGAGGACAUCAAUCGUAUUCGCGCAAUGUACAUUUUUCCCUUUCAUACCAUUCUAAUUAGCUACCACAGUCCACAGCAACGACUAAAUCGCUACCUUAACCCUCACUUAACCUAAUCAACUGUGUAAACUGUUGCCAUGAUAGCUACUCAGCUUCCCCUUCUUUAUUUGAACACAUAAAUGAGUGGGGGAGCAUGUUGGCACAUGAGACUAUACUCCUUAAAUCUAUGCUGCAUCAAAAUUAGCUUUCCAUGUUUAUGUUUUUGUAGGAAACUUCAUAUUGGUAUCAGCAAUCCAUCUUCUUCUCAGUUCUUAUUUCUUUGCUCCCCCAUUUCUUUAUGCGCUUCGUCGUUUGCUCCACCUAAAAUACAUAGAAAUCAACAUCGAGUUGAACAUGCAAUAUCAAAAAGGAAAACGUUUGUUAUUUGUAAAUUCUUCUUGCUCUACUUACCUCAGUGUCCCAGUUGGUUCUGGAAGUCAUAAUCAAUAAGAACAAGAUCUGUAGAGCGCUUCCACUUAUUAUGCCACCAUACAGUCCCUAGGUUGUAAUAUCCACAAGCAGAACAAAAUGUCACUACCAAGCAGAGAAAUAGAUUGUAUAUAUGCAUCAUGAUUUGUAAAGGAAAAUAGACAAGUAUUACCAUUGGACCCAAGUUUGCUUUAAAUCCCAGAAAUAUUGCCAAAGGGAGACCAAAUAAAUAAUAAGCAGCGAAAUUUAUAUAAGCUACCAUCACUUGCCAUCCACCUCCAACUGCAACCCCUGCAUAUGCAAAGUAGCCAAGAAUCUGUUACACAUAGAAAACUUGAGCAAAAACACAAAAUGAUCUAAGAGAAGCUAGCGGCACUAAAAUUAGUUACCUGUCAAAACUUCUGCAACACUAUUAAGAAGCAUGGCUGCGCCGAGAAAGUAUGCUAAAUGAGCAACAGCUCGUUGCAUAACUUUGCUGUCUGUGAAAACACUGGCAAUGUGGUCUCCACUUAAGAAGAUAGAUGUCAUAGACACAAUCCCAACAACGAGAGAUAGCAAGACUGCAACACAGAUAGAGUAUUUGGCCGCUCUUGGGUGCCCCAUUCCAAGUUCAUUUGAGACUCGAAUGCUGGAGAAUUACCAAUGUGAUGAUAAAAUAUCAUAGAAGCUCCAGAAAAUUGGAAACAGUUGAUAGUUUAGUAUAGAAACAUAAAAGAAAGUACCUUAUAGCAGUAUUCAGUCCAACCAAAAUCAUGGUUUCCCAACUUUGAAAGUUCAAGCUAAUUAAAAAAGAAAAACAGAAAGAAUUUUAGACUCGUUAUCACAAAUUAUAACACAAUGAAUAUGAAAAAGGGACAAAAUUAAUAGUAAUGCUCUUACCAUAUGGAAAAGGAACCAAGGGCAAUCACUGCAUUCUCAAGUUGACCGGCGAGAAUGUUCAUACUCAUGUGGUACCACCUCUCUAGGCAAAUCAUCAUACAUGAGGCAAGGGACAGCUUAGCAAAUGCCCAAAUGUCUUUGAAUGCUAACCAUGAAAAUCCAUUCCAACCUUCCUUGCACAAAAAUACAGCAUACACAAACUGACCAACUGCAACUUCCCAGAAUGUGAUGUUAUAAGCUACAGCUGCACCAUUGACCCCCAGCCGAGUACACUAAUGAAAAGAUAAAGGAGUCCUGUGUGUGUGACUAGAGCCACAAAGGAGAUCCAUGUAAUGACGCCGACCUUGCUCUGAGCCUGAAGAAACUUCUGGGUGGGCAAAUUGAUGGCAAAGGCGAACAUCUGAGGGAUUAUCAACAGACAAUAGUUUCCAGCAAACUCGGCUAUGCUGUCUUGUUGGCCUAAAAUCUUGAGGAAUGGAGUGGUGAAAAUGUAAAGUGAUGAGAGGAGAAAACAAGUGAUGGUCAGGAUGAUGCAUGAGCGCUGCAUAUAGAUACCAAGUGAGUCAAUUUGGCCUGCACCAUAAGCUUGUCCACAAAGCGUUCCAAGUGCAUUUGCCAUACCUAUCUGCGCUCACAAUAUGCAGGUCAAAACCAUCAGAUGAAAUUUUUAGGCCUCAUGCUAUUAGCACCAUGAAAAGACCUCUCUCUCUUGCAUGAAGAAAGAAAGAUACCAUAAACAUGUUACAUAAAUGUUUGUGUGUCCAAGACGUAUUUCAUAGCUGUGCAUCUAGUAAUCAAUGGAGUAAAUUAUUUUUGCCCCCAUGAAUAUCUUACCCCCAUCAAUGUCAAAUCCUUACAGUUUAUCCAAGUUCAAUUUGUAUUGCUAUUAAGCCUUUCCCUAUCAAAGUCGAUGUUCUGUGACCUCUAGUGACUUCCUAAUGAGCAGUUUCGGCGUUCCAAAAUCAGAAAUGGAUCUUGAGAAUCUUAGGAGCUGACUGUUACAAAAUAAGAAUUUGUACCUUCCGUUUUCGCAAUGAAGAUCAAAAACAUUAGUCAUAUACGUACUAUGUUAGUGAAGGCCAGCUUGUACAUGAUAUUCGACAAAAGAAACUCAAAACAGCUAGUCAUAGUACGUAAGUAUUUUUUAUAGUCAUGUAUCCAUAUGUAACUUAUGUACUUUUUACUCUAGAAAAUGACAGUAAACCUAACAAGGUAUAUCUUAUUAAUUUGGAGUUUUAUACGAGAGAGAAUCUAUAGUCGUAACAUGCAAACAAUAAUGCAUAGAUAAAUAAGUAGUUAAGUAUACAAAUAAAUAACGAGUAUACAAACAAAGCAAUACGAGUCGAUGUCUCAAUGACUGAUAGGAUUUGAUUCCAUAGAGAUGCAAACUAACCAGGAAGCCAAAGGCGAUGGCGUUGAUGACAUUAUGAGCGAGGGAAAUAGCAGAGAGCUCAAGAUCUCCGAGAUGUCCGACGAAGAUGGUGGUGGUGGACUGGAUGAGGAACUGAAAGAGACUCGUAAAAGCCACCGGAGCUGCAACUUUCCACAGCUUCACAGUCUCCUUCCAACAAACCGACACGCCCUCCCCGAAGGUCUUCACCGGAGCAUAGUCGCGUUCCGGCUCCGCCUUGAUGCUCAGCAAGGGAACUCUGCGCGUAUCAUCCAUUUGAAGUUUGGCUAGAAAUGAGUGCUGAGAAAAAGUGGUAGCUUAGCUCACUCCACUAAAGUAGUAAUAAUACAUAGUGAAGUGGAGGUCAGACGUAUUUAUAAAAUCAAAUUAUGAUUACACCGAAACGAAGCAAAAAUCCAGCGAGAAGAGGAAAAACAAAAAAAAAAACAAAAGAUGCCUGUAUCUAUAAUCUCUCAAUCGAAUUAACCCUACCAAUUUUCCAAUCAAUGCAAUGGUGAAAUUUUUUGUAUUUGGUUAAGUAAUGGGUCCGGAGGAAAGCACAAGAUCUGAACUAUUCCAUACAAUAAUCAAACCAAAGCUUCACACCUUCCUGAUCAUCACUUGAGUUUAUUUUAUUUUUUGGUUAGAAACGGGGGAGUACUCUCCAAUCCCAAUUUAUUGAGAAAAAUAGAAAAGAGUUGCAACUUACAACCAAACAGAAAAACAAACAGGGGUCACACAUGAACAUACAUAAAGAUGAUAUCAAUGCCAAGACAGUAUAGACAAGACUUAUAGCUUAACACAUUAAUUCGAAAGUUUAGGAAACCAAGUUUAUCACCCCGAAAAUAAUGAAUGAAGAGAGGAGAAAUGAGAAAGGUCUUCCCACCGCGUCAUGCAAGACAAAUACAAAUCAAUAUUAACAAGAGCAUGACACUUGAUUGAGAAAAGCAAAAAUACAUGUCUGAUAUAUCAAGACGUAUUAUCAAGACGUAAGCUAGGCAUUAUCAAGACGUACCUAGAAAGAAAAGAAUCAUGUAGUAAUAGUUUAUCAUAAUUUAGGUCUCUAGCAAAGAAUGAUCGAAUGGUAUAUCCUUGUUUAACUAAUCCAUCUCUCUUAUAUAUAUUUAACAUCGUUCUCAAUCGAUCAAUACACACAAAUAUUUAUUGACACGUAACUAACAUUCAUUGAUACGCACCUAACUCAAAGAAGAUAUGAUGCAAGCAACUACUCCAACAUGGCCGUCCCUGUGUUAGUCGAGGCCCUAGAUUGUAAAGGUUAAAAAUUAGUUUUCAUGAAAAAUUUUAUUAACCAAUUAAUUGAAAUUCAAGAGUCAAAUUAAACAUUCAUAAUGAAAGGAAGUUAAUCAUUUUUAUGUUAACAAGUUAAUUGAAUGUCAAAUUGAACUCACAAAAAUGGAAAGAAGUAUAUACAAUUGGAGAUAAAAUCUGAUAAUUGAUGUAUAUUUUUUAUUUAUAGUAAAAAACAGCUAAAAAGCAAACCAAUUAAUGAAUUUUUAAUAAAAAUAUUUAUGAAAGUUUCAAAUCUAGAGGCCCUUAUAAUUAUGGGAGGCCCUAGACACCAGCCUAGUUGGUCUUGCCUCAAGGCCGGCCAUGACUCUAAGAAACAAAUAACUGUCAAGAAACAAGAUGAGAAUCACGAAAAUAAUACAGGAUACAAGUCGAGUUCACCUUAAAAGCCAUAUAUGCUUCCAUUCUCUGACCUAGGCUAAGUCAAUAUCUUGACAUGCCAUAUUGCCAUGAACUCUAUCUUGACAGAGCUAGGAAUAUCAAGAUAUUAAUACUGUAUAUCCCUACAACUGAUAUAUGCUAGGUGAUCGAGAUUGAUAGUGAGAAUGACAUUUCUACGAGUACAAUACAGCGAUUGAGAACAAGGAAUCAAAUUCUCUUCCAAGAAGAAUUAACUAACCAAAAUCAUAAACAAUACUCUACCGGAACCAAAGCUUCACUCCUUCCAUUUCCUUCACAAGCUCAUAAACAUAGUACUUGACAAUUCACCAACAAAGAAAAAGAAAAAAAAAAAACAGAGAGAGAGACAAAAAGCUAGAAUAAUGGAAGGACGUUCGAAAUCUAGCAUAAAAUUAGAGCUACUACGUAACUUCAUGCAUGAUGAUCACACCCAUCAGUUUAGGUUGAUCGAUCACCUCUUAUUUUGCAACAUUAUUUUUAAGAUAGUUAACGAAUGCACUAAUGUAGUGAUCAUGUUGCAGCUUGUGAUCUCCAAUAACUGCAGCAGCUUUCCUUGCAUUGCUUCGUAGCUGCUCUCCUUCUUCUUCCACCAUUGCUAGCCUCAGUGAUUUUGCUAUUUCCCCUCUACUAAACGACCCGUCUUCGUUUCGCUUCACUUCGGCAGCCAGACCCUUCUCUACCAGAAGCCUUGCAUUCAAAGGCUGAUCAUACAUGAAGGGUAACACAACAAGGCCAUGCCCAAAUUGCAGAGUCUCAAUCACCGAACCCCAUCCAGAAUGAAACAAAGAGCCCCCAAUUGAUGGGUGCCCCAAAAUUUCCAUUUGGGGCACCCAUCCGAAGCAAACAAGCCCUUUCUCUGAUGUUCUGUCAGUAAAACCUAAAGGCAAAAAAUCAUCCACUUCAUCACUCUCAGUUGAAUUAGGUUUUCUGAGUCCCCAAAUAAAUGGCUGUUCCGAUAGCUCCAGCCCAUGAGCCAUCUCAUGAACUUGUUCUUUGCUUAACCUACACUCACUCCCGAACCCCACAAACACAACUGACCUGGGUUUUUGCUUAUCAAGCCAAUCAAACAU
rnacentral:lncRNA from 1 species